UAGGACAGGAAGAAGUCACCUAGGAAGAGAGUAAAGACAGAGAAGAGAAGAGAAGAGGAAACAGCCCAGGGCUCAUCCCUUGGGCAUUCCAACGUUCAGAAGUCUAGAAGAAAAGAAGGAGAGAGUAAAAAUGCAAGAGAAAAACCACCAGUGACAUGAAAGAAAACCAGGAACUGUAGUGUCACAGAAGCCAAACAAAAGUGUUCAAAGGAAGAGGAAAAGAGUGUAAUCACAUAAGAGCGUAAUGUAUGUAAGAUUAGGACAGGGAAUUGGCACUGAAUCUAACAACAGGGAAGUCACUGACGACCCUGACAAGAGCAGUUUCAGGGGACUUGAGGGAAUGGAAGUGGAUGGUGAUGACAUGAUGAAGUGGAGACAGUGCGUAGAGAGCAGGGGUCAGUAAACGAUGGCCUGCGCGCCAGAUCCAGUCUGCCACCUGUUUUCGUAAAUGUUUUCUUGGAACACAGCCAAUCCCAUUCGUUUAGUAUUGUCUAUGAAUAUCUUCACCAUAUAAUCCAGAGUCGAGUAGUUGCAAGAGAGACUAUAUGGCACCUGAAGUCUAAAAUAGUUACUAUCUGGCCCUUAACAGAAAAAGUUGGCUGACCCCUGGUAUAGACUAUUUUUCAAGAAGUUUUUGCUAUGAGAAGACAAGAAAAAUGACGCCAUGGAUGGGAUGAAGGGAGGAACUUUUAAAGAUGAGAGAUGCUUGUGCAUGUCUAUUGUGGGAACCAUUCAGCAGAAGAGGAGAAAGUGACCUGGCAGAGGGGAGGUAAUGGGAUAAUUACAGAAGAGUAGGACUUUUUAAUAAUUUUCCUGAAUUGUGUAGUGUGUAUUAGCUCUCUACCAGGGCUGUAAGUUAGAGUGUGGACAAAGAAUAUGAAUGGCAUUCUUCUACCCCCUAUAAUCCAGGCAAUCAUCCACUCUGUUGCCAGAAUGGCAGGCCUAGUUUAUGACUAUUGUCUUAAUAUAAUUAUUAAUAGCUCCUUGCUCACUCUCAGAAGUGACUCUGGUGAUAAAUCAUAUGGUCACCUCAUCUAUAGCAUCUAACCAAAGCUAGAGCACAGUUGGAACACAACAAAUAUUUGCCAACUGACUAAAAAUACUGUGGAGCACUUUUCAGAAGAAUACUGUUAAGUGCGGAGACUACUGCUCUGAAUGAGGUGUGUUGACACCCAUGGUUUGCCCUAACUUCAGGCACAGUUAUAAGCAGUGGUUCAAAAACAGAGCAUCAUACUUUCUCUAACUGUUAUCUAUUUGGCUAAUAUGGUAUCUAAUGCCUAAGAUGCUGCAAGGGGUCAGUAAAUUCUAAACCCACUGAAGCCUCCUAAGAAAUGUUGGGUCAUGAUGUAAAAAAGUAUUACAGAGGCCUCUGCAGGCAACUGCCCACCAGAAAGGACUUACUUUUUGCGGCACGAUUUGCACAGAAUUCUGUGAUGUUGUCGGUCACAUCAUGUUACAGUGAUGUGCUCAUGGGAUUGUAACCACCAUCUUCUAGCCAAACACCCUAAGAUAUAGGACAUUCAGCUAAGAAAAGCAAAAAGGGCCACGUUCUAUUCUUGGAUCUAAGGUCUGAAGCAGUUUGCACGAUUCCUUCUCAGAGAAAGGGUUUCUAUUCCUAUUUCUCCUUAUUCUCAAUCUGGCAUCCUACCAGAACUGUCUCUGCUGAAGGUACUUUUUUCUCCUAGCAAACAAAUAAGACUCACACAAUCUUACAUUUCACAGACUUAAAGAAAGAUAAACUGUCUGCCAGAUUCUUUGGGGGCUGGAAUACUUUCGCUUGUUAUAACAAUGUACUAAAUUUAAUAUAAUUCAUUUUCCAGAGUCAAAAAGGUACUUCUGAAGCAUUCACUUCAUCAAGCAAGUCUAUUCUCAACACACAUCCUAAUAUUUGAUAUCUAAUGUCUGAUAAUCAAUUACAUAGGAAGAAUGUUUUGCAAUUAGAAGAACCAUAAGACCUAUAAAAGGUUAAGAUUUUAUUUUUAAAAAAUACUAAAAUACUUUUACUUAGUACCUGGCUAAUAAGAAAAUGUGCUGAAAAGAAAGAUUCUGGCACUGUCCUUAGACACUCUUUAAAAUAAAAUGGGGCUACUUUUCCAUUCCAAGCUGUAUGUAGAUUAAAAACAAAACUAAUCACCCCAAAAUGUCUGCUUUCAAACUAUCCUUACCGGAGUUUCUGAAUUGAGCACUGCCGCAGGGCUCCAGUCUGCAUUCAAGGGUGUUACUAGGAAGCAGUUACUGUAGUGGUCCUCUUUAGCAACUCAAAUUCUGCAGUUGGGAGAUGCAGAGCAACCCACUGAGCUAGCCUAGAAGACUCAGCAGAACCAGUUACGCUAUCUCCGUGUUUUCGUGCAUCAUUAACUGUAACCAUUAUUCUUAAUUCUCCUUGCCUCCUGACGUAGACUCUGAACAGGCUACCAAAGCCACACUAGGUCAUGUGUGCAGGAGAUAAGCAGUGUGGAACUUGGCGUAGACUCUACUGCUUUCUUCUUCUUUCGUCUUUUUAAUUUUUUUUUAGAAUUGUUGUCUGCCACCUGUGUAGAUAGAGGGGGUCGAAGCCAAUGGAAGUGCCUUGAGAAGUGAACAUCCCCUCUGGCUCUUAGAGGCAUCUAAUCUUGCAGUUUGCUCUAUUAGAGAAUCACACUGCCUUUAUCCUGUGAGUCCACAGGCAGCUGUUAAGAGAUUUUAAACUGAGAUCCCAUUUGUUGCCACUGAGGAAGGAGGAAAAGGUUGCUCAUUUUCAGAACUCGAAUGGCUUUAUGUUCUUUGAAAAAAUGAGAUGCUAAUAUUCAAGGUUACUGGGAAGAAAAUUUAUUUUUCCACUAUUCUGCUAUCAUUUUUGUUGUCUAACUUUACAUCUGUCUGCCAGUUCCCUUCCUAUUGUUUGGAAAAGCAAUACAUUGUCUUAGGAAAAAGCAAGGGUUUUUGAGCCAGCAGACCGAGAUUCAAAUGCCAGCCUUGUCAUUUACUAUGUGAUUGCUGUUAAGCCACUUAACCUCUAAGAGGCAAAGGCUCAUCAUUUCUAGAACAGGAAUAAUGGCACCUACCUCAAAGGUUUUGUGAUAGGAAGGAAUAUAGGGCUUAGCAGUGAACACUGUUGGAACUGUUUACCCAGUACUCUUCCUUCCUCCCAGGAAUUCUCCUUUCACCUGUUCUUAUAGAGUCUGCUGUCCCAGAGGCAGACCAGGCCCAAGCUUGGCCAAAUGGAGUUUUCUGUAACUUUCCAGAACAAACUGGGAAAGAAAUUUCACCUUUCUCUGGCGGUAAGAGCCCCAAGAUGUGAAACUGAGUUAGACUGCAGCACAGUUCCCCAGUAAGGGGAGGAGAGUGGUCUCCAGGUAGAAAUGAUGAAGCUAACACACAAAGAGACAGACACAGAAAGAGCCUGAGCAGUAUUCCACUCCUGGGCUGCAGGUGUUUGACAAGUCCAGCUGUGACACGACUCUUCCACAGUCUGACUGUCCAACUUCUCUUUCAAAACAAGACACAACAAGAGCCUUCUAAAUAAUCCCCCUUUUUGCCUAAGCUAGUUUGAAUCGGGAUUUUGUCUUCUGAAACCGAGAGAGUCCUGACUGAGGACUCAGGUCACAAAAGGGGCUCACUAAAUGGCAACUAUUAAUAUUUCCAGAUCUCCCAGACGGAAUGUAAUAUUUCAGAAGAGACUCUCUCUCUAAGAGCCAAAGGUUGCUGCCCCAUCUUUUAGAGCUUUGUAAGUAAGCUAGUUAAGUUCAACAUCGGCAGGCAUAUGCAGAAGAAUGGCUCAUGGAUCAGGGGGGUGGUCUCUUUGAACCAUGCUGACGAUGAGACAUUUUCCAGGAAAAAAGUUUCAAUCUUUUGUUCUUUCCUUCAAUAAAAAGUGAGUGCCUACUAUAUACUGUGCUAGAUACUGAGAGAAAAAGAUCACUAGAUGGGGACACAUCUUUAAAGAGCUUGUCAGGAAUACAUAGAAGAAAAAGAAAUAACUAUAAGAUCAGAAUGUACAAAGAGGUAUGAUUAAGAGUGCCAUGAUCAUUUAGAAAGCAAGAAACUCCUCAAGAGAGCAAAAACAUUGCUGAGGGCCACCACAUCUGAUGAGCCCUCAACAGAGGGCCCCGUGACAUCCACUGAAGGUAGACUUCUAUGGAUAAGUAGCCUCUAUUUAUGGAAUGUUCCUUCUUUUGUUACUACUGGCCACCCUGGCACCACUGAGAGCUGUUGCUAUGGAAACAGGGCAUCCCCAGCUGCAGCAGAGAUGCUUUAAGAAGCCUCAGCAAUAAUAACAACACAGCCCAUUCUCCACAAUGGUGCCAAACAGUAGCAGUGGCUACAGGUAUCACAUACAAUAGCUAGAGAUGAAUACAGAAUCUGUUCAGAGAAUCCACAAUAUAACAUGGAAACAAAAAUCAGAAAUCCUGGCAUGUGAUCCAACUCUAUAAGAAGGAUGGUAAGUAUCUUGUAUAUUUUAGAGCUUUAAUCUAGACCACUAAAGAACACCAAACCAAAAAGACUAAAAAACUAUUAUCUCUGGUUUUGCAAAAUUAAUCUCCUUCCAGAGGAGACCUCAGAGUCCAAAUUAGAGCAAAGGAAAUUUUAUAGCUAUAUUACAGACUCCUGAAAAUAGGGAUUUAUAAAUGGAAAUGUUGACAGAACAACCACAGCACUGAAUUCAUGCUGCUCUGAAUUCCGUAUUUCCAUGGAGGAAAGAAGAAAGAGGAAAAAGGAGGUCAAGUUCUUACGUGAAGACAGAGUUUCAAAUUCCCAUCCAUUGUUUAAAGAUAUCUGAAUGACUUUUUGUGUCAAGGACCCGAAACUCAGAAAGCUUUGCACUGUCAGCAGUAACACUGCAAUUUUUCUAAUGUGCAACCUCAAACUAAGGAUGGAAUUUUCCUUCCAAAAUCAGUUAACUACUAGCAGUCAAGAGCAAGAGCAGCCUGGGUACCAGCCAGCGCAUUACAGUAGUGAUGAAUGGCAUUUUCCUCUUUAGAUGCAGAGACUCUAGUUUAAAAUUGUGACUGACUUUAACAUGGAAACAAGCAGAUGGCAAAAGUUAUGCUUGACCUUCUUUCUUGGCUCCUGAAGGGUGCCAAUUUUUAUGGAGAUGGCUCAGAAGAAUAAUAAACUUCAGUGUUCCUUCUUGGCACACUUUUUUCCUAAAACCAUUUUCGAUGAUCACGUUGCACACAAGUGGGAUUUGAUGUGUUUCUAAGGUCAGGAGGAAAACAGUGCAACUGCUGGACUUACUAACUAAAAGAAAUAAUCGUGUUAUUUUUCUUUUUUGGAGGAGGCAGAUCACUAUUAUUAGUUACUGAACACAAAAACGUAAGACUCUACAGCUAAUCUGAACACACAGUCUGUAUGGAUUAAAUGAAGACAACAUAGGAACAUAUGUUUGCCUGGUGGAAAAACAAA